GACGAACGCUGGCGGCGUGCUUAACACAUGCAAGUCGAACGGAAAGGCCCUGCUUUUGUGGGGUGCUCGAGUGGCGAACGGGUGAGUAACACGUGUGUAACCUGCCCUUGACUUUGGGGUAACUUCAGGAAAAUGGGGCUAAUAUCGGAUAGGAGAUCCUGCUGCAUGGUGGGGGUUGGUGAAUUUCGGUGGUUGGGGAUGGUCUGGCUGGUUAUCAGCUUGUUUGUGUGGUAGUGAAUUACCAAGGCUUUGACGGGUAGCCGGCCUGAGAGGGUGACCGGGGACAUUGGGACUGCGGGACGGCGCAGACUGCUACGGGAGGCAGCGGGGGGGAGUAUUGCGCAAUGGGGCGAAGCGAGAUGCAGCAACGCCGCGUGCGGGAUGACGGCCUACGGGUGGUAAACCGAUGUGGACGGUGAUGAGGCGAGAGUGACGGUAAUGGGUAAAGAAGCACCGGCUAACUACGUG
rnacentral:rRNA from 1 species